rnacentral:lncRNA from 1 species
AGUUGGACUGGAAUCAUCACCAUCUCAAUGUUGCCUCUGUUGUUACUUGGUUGAUGUUUGAUUGAUGCACUGGCGUGAUGUUGAUGGACUUGGUGUUGGGUAUCUAUCUGUAUGUCAUUUACUGGGCUCCAAUGUAUUCUUGAGUAGAUUGACUGGUUCCAGUGUGGGCCUUGAUAUUGUUAGAUAUGAGGGCAUUACCUGGUUCUCAGCUAUC